AGAAUGUGGACCUAAAGAUAGAAGUUCAACUCUUCUUAGUGACCGA
rnacentral:tRNA from 1 species